rnacentral:tRNA from 1 species
CCCGCGAUAGCUCAGUUGGUAGAGCGGAAGACUGUAGAUGAGAAAUAACUGUAAUCUUUAGGUCACUGGUUCGACUCCGGUUCGCGGGA